rnacentral:rRNA from 1 species
CGAGAAUUUUUCACAAUGGGGGAAACCCUGAUGGAGCGACGCCGCGUGGGGGAUGAAUGGCUUCGGCCCGUAAACCCCUGUCAUUCGCGAACAAUGCUCACGGUAUAACACAUCGUGAGUUGAUAGUAGCGGAAGAGGAAGGGACGGCUAACUCUGUGCCAGCAGCCGCGGUAAUACAGAGGUCCCAAGCGUUGUUCGGAUUUACUGGGCGUAAAGGGUGCGUAGGCGGUCGGGUAAGUCUGAUGUGAAAUCUCCGAGCUUAACUCGGAAAAUGCAUUGGAUACUAUUCGGCUGGAGAGUUGGAGGGGGGACUGGAAUACUUGGUGUAGCAGUGAAAUGCGUAGAUAUCAAGUGGAACACCAGUGGCGAAGGCGAGUCCCUGGACAACUUCUGACGCUGAGGCACGAAAGCUAGGGGAGCAAA